rnacentral:rRNA from 1 species
GAUGAACGCUGGCGGCGUGCCUAAUACAUGCAAGUCGAGCGAACAGACGAGGAGCUUGCUCCUCUGACGUUAGCGGCGGACGGGUGAGUAACACGUGGAUAACCUACCUAUAAGACUGGGAUAACUUCGGGAAACCGGAGCUAAUACCGGAUAAUAUAUUGAACCGCAUGGUUCAAUAGUGAAAGACGGUUUUGCUGUCACUUAUAGAUGGAUCCGCGCCGCAUUAGCUAGUUGGUAAGGUAACGGCUUACCAAGGCAACGAUGCGUAGCCGACCUGAGAGGGUGAUCAGCCACACUGGAACUGAGACACGGUCCAGACUCCUACGGGAGGCAGCAGUAGGGAAUCUUCCGCAAUGGGCGAAAGCCUGACGGAGCAACGCCGCGUGAGUGAUGAAGGGCUUCGGAUCGUAAAACUCUGUUAUUAGGGAAGAACAAAUGUGUAAGUAACUAUGCACGUCUUGACGGUACCUAAUCAGAAAGCCACGGCUAACUACGUG